rnacentral:rRNA from 1 species
AUUGAACGCUGGCGGCAGGCCUAACACAUGCAAGUCGAGCGGAGAGGCGGACGGGUGAGUAAUGACUAGGAAUCUGCAUGGUGGUGGGGGAUAACGACGGGAAACGGGCGAUAAUACCGCAUACUAGCAGAUGAGCCUAGGGCGGAUUAGCUAGUUGGUGGGGCAAAGGCCUAUCAAGGCGACGAUUCGGAACUGGUCUGAGAGGAUGAUCAGUCACACUGGAACUGAGACACGGUCCCGACUCCUACGGGAGGCAGCAGUUGGGAAUAGUUGACAAUGGGCGAAAGCCUGAUCCAGCCAUGCCGCGUGUGUGAAGAAGGUCUUCGGAUUGUAAAGCACUUUAAGUUGGGAGGCGUUACCAACAGAGUAAGCACCGGCUAACUUCGUGCCAGCAGCCGCGGUAAUAC